ensembl:lncRNA
GCAAAUUUGAUUUCAUCUUUAGUAAGUAGUAAAGUUAUAUGCUUGCCAAAAAAAAUAAAUAAGUGACACACUGGAAGACAAAUGUCACACAAUUUCAAUUUUAUGUGUAACCUUGAAAUGAUGAACUUAUAGGAGCAGAGAGCAGAAUUGUGGCUAUUAGGCGUCAAUGUGGGUCUUUUAACAAUGGGGAAACAAUUGGUUUAAGGAUAUAAAACUGCAGUUGGACAAGAGGCAUGGACUCUGUGAUGUCUUGAGGUCUACUGAGAGCAUGACAAUUAUGGUUGAUAACAAUAUGCUAUGUUUUAAAAGUUGUGAGAUAGUAUACUUUAAGUGUUCUCAAAACAAAAAUGGUGAUUAUGUGUGAUAUAACAUGUUAAUUGGUUUAAUUUAGCCAUGCCAUUGUGAACAGACUGUAUGAUGUAUCAUAAUUGUGCAUGACUUUAUUUAGGAGCUAAAUAAAUGAAUGGAAAAAAUCUUAGCAUGGUGGCAUGUGUCUGUAAAUCCAGUGCUGGGUAGGUAGAGACAGGUAGAUCAUUGAAUUCACUCAUCAGCCAGUCUAGUCGGUUGGUGAGCUCCAGGUUCAUUGAAAAAUUCUGUGUCAAAAAAUAAGGUAGUGAGUGAUUGAGGAGGAAGACACCCAAAAUUAACCCCUGGUCACCACAUGCAUGUGCCCACACACACACACAUUCACCCACAUGCAUAUAUGUACACAUAUGAGCGUGCACACACACACACACACACACACACACACACACACACAAAUGCAGAGGGCCAGCUUCUCCUGAGAUGUAUGGCUAUGUGUGGAAGAAGCUGUUGAACAAGAUCAAGUUGAAUCAGGAAGGAAGGUGGACAAGGAGAAGGAAUACUGGACAGUAACCAAGUGACUACUCUAUCCUAGAUCUCCCUCAUCUCUCCACGGCCACCUUUUCUUUGUCUGGACUUCUCUGCAUGGGCUGAGAAUGCUUGCUUCUGUCUGACGUCGAGGCCACUGGUGUGUUUGUGCUUCUGUCAUCCUGACCAGUAGCUCUGUCACCACCAUGGAACCACCCUAGCAGUAGUGGCCACUGUCACUUGCAUGUUGGGCAUACCCGUUACUGAAGGAGGAAAAAUACACAUGUAUCCAGGUAAAUGUGUACAAGAGAACCUGUGGUAAAUGGGAGGUGUAAAGGGGACAGGCAAAAUGGCAAAAUGCCAAGAAGCAUGAAGGAGAGAGGAGUCUGACCCAGGAGAAAGACGUGAGGGUCUUGAACACUUCCUGGAGGACACGACAUCUCAGACCUUCUUUGCUAUGAAGAUUAAAUGAGAAUAUAGCAAGGUUUAACAAACACUAAACAUUUAACUAAUAACAAGUAUUAUCAGUGACCAACUGGAAGGAGGAUAAACACAUCAUCAUAAAACAAAACCAGUGAGAAGCCAUACAGAAUGGAAUGAGGCAACAGUUCCCAAGCCACAGAUUCAUUUAUCACCCAUCCCAAGAUAGAAGAUGCGGCUAGAGCAGUGGCCCUGGGAGGAACAGUGCUUCUCUGCUUCUAACACUGCAAUGAAAUUCAGGACAAACACUAUACUAUGCAUGAAGAUCACCGCCUGGAGAUCCCAG